GAUGAACGCUCGCUACAGGCUUAACACAUGCAAGUCGAGGGACCGGCGCACGGGUGAGUAACACGUAUCCAACCUGCCCUUUACUCGGGGAUAGCCUUUCGAAAGAAAGAUUAAUACCCGAUGUAAAGGAUGGGGAUGCGUUCCAUUAGGUUGUUGGUGAGUGAACGGCUCACCAAGCCUUCGAUGGAUAGGGGUUCUGAGAGGAAGGUCCCCCACAUUGGAACUAAGACACUGUCCAAACUCAUACGGGAGGCAGGAGUGAGGAAUAUUGGUCAAUGGGCGUUAGCCUGAACCAGCCACGUAGCGUGAAGGAUGAAGGCUUAUGGGUCGUAAACUUCUUUUAUAGAAGAAUAUGUAUUAUAUGAAUAAGGAUCGGCUAACUCCGUGCCAGCAGCCGCGGUAAUUC
rnacentral:rRNA from 1 species